UGCGCAUGCGUGCAAGGGGAGGUUAAGCCUGUGUUUUUCCCUCGACCAUGGUCGUGUCCUCUGUCUCCCGCUCCGCGUCCCAGUACCGACCGGCGCCUCUAGCGAGGUUGCCGCCGCAGCUGGACCCCAACGAAUACCGCUGGAGCCUCGAGAAGCGCCGCGCGGAAGCCGAGCGGCUCGCCCUCCGCGCCCGCAUCAAGCGCGAAUUCUUGCUGCGGCUCAAUGACCCUCGACGGACAGAGCUCAUCGAAGACCCUGCUGUAAUUCGUUGGGAUUAUGCCAGAAGGCACAAUGUCUAUCCUAGUUUCCGCUUUACCCCCAAAAGUUCCCUACUGAGUCUCCUCUGGGGAGCAGGACCCUUUGUUUUCUGGUGGUAUGUCUUGACAAGAAGUAGGGAGUAUAAAGAAAAGCUCAAAAAAGAAGGCAGAUAUGAGGAAACAUUCCGUACCUCCUAUUAAGUCUUUUGACAACUGUGUGUGACAAUCUUGCUGAAGAAACUUUAUUAUCUCUCUGUAACAGAGGAACCGUCACCUUGGGAGUGGAACGUUCCCACUUCCCUUAAAAGCACCGUCUGCUAGUUGUUCUCCUCAGACACUGGUAACUGAGCAGCAGAAGCAAACUGGAAAACCAGGAAGUCGUUGCACCGACUCCCAUGCUUCCACAGCUUCUGCCUAAAUAAUCAUAAGUACUGUAGGAUCUUAAGCAGGAUGUGGAAACCUCUCGCACAAUAAGGCAGAUCAACCAGUGACAGCCUUGUUAGGAGAUACGGGGUUACCAUUUAGUUCUAUUUGUAUUUUCUGAUCUUUAAAGACAUGAAUUUUAAUAAUCUUAAUAAUAUAAUUUAUUAAACUUGCAUGCCGCCCAACU